rnacentral:misc_RNA from 1 species
AAGUCGUAACAAGGUCUCCGUAGGUGAACCUGCGGAGGGAUCAUUACCGAAUUCGCCCUUAUCGGGCAGAGUUCCCACCCAGUGCCUAAAUUCAUCCUUUGUUGCUUUGGCAGGCCGCCAGGUCUCCUGCCGUCCGGCUCAUCGCUGGCGUGCGCCUGCCAGAGGACCCAAAACCCUGAAUAUUAGUGUCGUCUGAGUAAAAUAUAUAAGUUAAAA